rnacentral:rRNA from 1 species
GACGAACGCUGGCGGCGUGCUUAACACAUGCAAGUCGAACGGAAAGGCCCUGCUUUUGUGGGGUGCUCGAGUGGCGAACGGGUGAGUAACACGUGAGUAACCUGCCCUUGACUUUGGGAUAACUUCAGGAAACUGGGGCUAAUACCCGAUAGGAGCUCCUGCUGCAUGGUGGGGGUUGGAAAGUUUCGGCGGUUGGGGAUGGACUCGCGGCUUAUCAGCUUGUUGGUGGGGUAGUGGCUUACCAAGGCUUUGACGGGUAGCCGGCCUGAGCGGGUGACCGGCCACAAUGGGACUGCGAUACGGCCCAGACUCCUACGUUAGGCAGCAGUGGGGAAUAUGGCACAAUGGGCGGAAGCCUGAUGCAGCAACGCCGCGUGCGGGAUGACGUCCUUCGGGGUGUAAACCGCUUUCUCCGGUGACGAGGCGUGCGUGACGGUAAUGAGUAAAGAAGCACCGGCUAACUACGUG